GCGCCGCACCGCACCGCGCGGGCGGCCAUGGAGCGCGCCUAGGGCCCGACAGGAAUUGUGGAAGGCGCUUCAGUGAAGAAAUGGACCAGUGUGUAUAGCCAUGGACUCUCCUUACUAACCAUCACCACCUGUUCUCCUUGAUAAGUGAGCCAGAGAGCGGCCAGGUAGAAGGAAACCAGGUCACCAUGAAGCUAAAGCAGCGAGUUGUGCUGUUAGCAAUUCUCCUUGUCAUCUUUAUCUUCACCAAAGUUUUCCUGAUUGACAACUUGGAUACAUCAGCUGCCAACCGGGAGGACCAGAGGGCUUUUCACCGAAUGAUGACUAGCUUGCGAGUGGAGCUGGUGCCCAGGCUGGACCACACCUUGCAGUCUCCCUGGGAGAUUGCUGCCCAGUGGGUGGUUCCUCGGGAGGUGUACCCUGAAGAGACACCAGAACUGGGGGCAAUCAUGCAUGCCAUGGCCACCAAGAAAAUCAUUAAAGCUGAUGUGGGUUAUAAAGGGACACAGCUGAAAGCCUUACUAAUACUUGAAGGAGGACAGAAAGUUGUCUUCAAACCUAAGCGGUAUAGCCGAGACUAUGUGGUAGAAGGGGAGCCGUAUGCUGGUUACGAUAGACACAAUGCAGAGGUGGCAGCCUUUCACUUGGACAGGAUUCUGGGUUUCCGCCGAGCCCCCUUGGUGGUUGGCAGAUUUGUUAAUCUUCGGACAGAGAUCAAGCCUGUUGCCACGGAGCAGCUGUUGAGCACAUUCCUAACUGUAGGAAACAAUACUUGUUUCUAUGGGAAAUGUUAUUACUGCCGAGAAACAGAGCCAGCAUGUGCUGAUGGAGACACAAUGGAGGGUUCUGUCACACUUUGGCUUCCAGAUGUGUGGCCUCUGCAGAAACACUGACACCCGUGGGGCAGGACUUAUCGGGAAGGCAAACUGGCCAGGUGGGAGUAUGAUGAGAGCUACUGUGAUGCAGUAAAGAAGACGUCCCCUUAUGACUCUGGCCCACGCCUCUUGGACAUCAUUGAUACAGCUGUCUUUGACUACCUGAUUGGCAAUGCUGACCGCCAUCACUAUGAGAGCUUUCAAGACGAUGAGGGUGCUAGUAUGCUUAUCCUUCUCGAUAAUGCCAAAAGCUUUGGGAACCCCUCACUGGAUGAAAGAAGCAUUCUUGCCCCCCUCUACCAGUGUUGCAUCAUUCGAGUUUCUACCUGGAACAGACUGAACUACCUGAAGAAUGGUGUGCUAAAGUCUGCCUUAAAAUCUGCCAUGGCCCAUGACCCCAUCUCCCCAGUGCUCUCCGAUCCUCAUUUGGACACCAUGGACCAGCGGCUCCUGAGUAUCCUGGCCACCAUGAAGCAGUGCACUGACCAGUUUGGGAUGGACACUGUACUGGUGGAAGACAGGAUGCCUCUCUCCCACUUGUAAUUCUCAACACAAAAUAAGUGAAACUUCUUUUUACAAAGAUAGAGAAA